rnacentral:rRNA from 1 species
GAUGAACGCUAGCGGCAGGCUUAAUACAUGCAAGUCGAGGGGCAGCAUGGUGUAGCAAUACACUGAUGGCGACCGGCAAACGGGUGCGGAACACGUACAGAACCUUCCUUCGAGCGGGGAAUAGCCCAGAGAAAUUUGGAUUAAUACCCCAUAGUACAACGGAGUGGCAUCGCUUUGUUGUUAAAGAUUUAUCACUUGAAGAUGGCUGUGCGGCUGAUUAGGUAGUUGGCGGGGUAACGGCCCACCAAGCCUGCGAUCAGUAACUGGUGUGAGAGCACGACCAGUCACACGGGCACUGAGACACGGGCCCGACUCCUACGGGAGGCAGCAGUAAGGAAUAUUGGUCAAUGGACGAAAGUCUGAACCAGCCAUGCCGCGUGGAGGAUGAAGGUCCUCUGGAUUGUAAACUUCUUUUAUAUGGGACGAAAAAAGGCCUUUCUAGGUCGUCUGACGGUACCAUAUGAAUAAGCACCGGCUAACUCCGUGCCAGCAGCCGACGG